AUGUUGUUUUCUAACAAGCUGCCUCUGGACAAACUGGACAUGAAGGGGAAGCAGGUCAUCAUGAGAGUGGACUUCAACGGUCCUAUGAGAACAACCAGAUAACAAAUAACCAGAGAAUCAAGGCUGCCAUCCCAACCAUCAGAUCUGCUUGAACAAUGGAGCCAAGUCAGUUGUUCUUACAAGCCAUCUGGGCUGGCCUGAUGGUGUCCCCAUGCCUGACAAGAUCUCUUUGGAGCCAGUUGCUGUAGAACUCAAAUCUCUGCUGAGCAAGGAUGUUUCAUUCUUGGAGAACCUUUGCUUUCAUGGGGAGGAAGAAAGGAAGGAAAGAGAUACUCCUGAGAAGAGGGUUAAAUCUGAGCCAGCCAAAAUAGAAGACUUCCAAGCUUCACUUUCCAAGUUAGAGGAUGUCGAUGGCAAUGAUGCUUUGGGCACUGCUCACCAAGCCCACAGCUCCAUGGUGGGAGUCAGUCUGCCACAGAAAGCUGCAGGUUUCUUGAUAAAGGAGAUGAACUACUUUGCCAGGGCCUUGGAGAGCUCAGAGCAACCCUUCCUGGCCAUCCUGGGCGGAGCUAAAGUUGCACACAAGAUCCAGCUGAUUGAUAAUGUGCUGGACAAAGUCAAUGAGAUGAUCAUUGGUGGUGGAGUGGCUUUUACUUUCCUUAAGGUGCUCAACAACAUGGAGAUUGGCACUUCUCUGCAUGAUGAAGAGAUUGCCAAGAUUGUCAAAGAAGAAUGGUGUGAAGAUUACCUUACCUGUUGAUUUUGUCACUGCUGAGAAGUUUGGUGAGAAUGCCAAGAUUGGCCAAGCCACUGUGCCCUCGGGCAUUCCUGCAGGCUGGAUGGGCUUGGACUGUGGUCCGGAGAGGAGCAAGAAGUACCUAAGGCAGUUGCUUGGACUAAGCAGCUUAUGUGGAAUGGACCUGUGGACGUAUUUGAUCGGGAGGCUUUUGCCCAAGGAACCAAAGCCCUCAUUGAUGAGGUGGUGAAAGCCACUUUCAGGGGCUGCAUCACCACAUAGGUGGUGGGGACACUGUCCCUUGCUGUGCCAAAUGGAACACAAAGGAUACCGUCAGCCAUAUGAGCCCUGGGAGUUAUGCCAGUUUAGAGCUCCUGGAAAGUAAAGUACUUCCUGGGGUGGAUGCCGUCAGCAAUGUUGAGUAUUUUUCUGCCUUUUGGUUCCUGUGCACAGCCCCUAAGUCAACUUAG